rnacentral:rRNA from 1 species
GACGAACGCUGGCGGCGUGCUUAACACAUGCAAGUCGAACGGAAAGGCCCUGCUUGCAGGGUGCUCGAGUGGCGAACGGGUGAGUAACACGUGGGUGAUCUGCCCCUUACUUUGGGAUAAGCCUGGGAAACUGGGUCUAAUACUGGAUAGGACCAUGCUGUAGGUGGUGUGGUGGAAAGAUUAGUUUCGGUAAGGGAUGAGCUCGCGGCCUAUCAGCUUGUUGGUGGGGUAAUGGCCUACCAAGGCGUCGACGGGUAGCCGGCCUGAGAGGGUGGACGGCCACAUUGGGACUGAGAUACGGCCCAGACUCCUACGGGAGGCAGCAGAGGGGAAUAUUGCACAAUGGGCGCAAGCCUGAUGCAGCGACGCCGCGGGGGGGAUGACGGCCUUCGGGUUGUAAACUCCUUUCAGCCAUGACGAAGCCCUUGUGGUGACGGUAGUGGUAGAAGAAGCACCGGCUAACUACGUG